UACGAAGGGGGCUAGCGUUGCUCGGAAUCACUGGGCGUAAAGGGUGCGUAGGCGGGUCUUUAAGUCAGGGGUGAAAUCCCUCGGCUUAACCGGGGAACUGCGUCUGAUACUGGAUGGCUUGAGUUCGGGAGAGGGAUGCGGAAUUCCAGGUGUAGCGGUGAAAUGCGUAGAUAUCUGGAGGAACACCGGUGGCGAAGGCGGCAUCCUGGACCGAUACUGACGCUGAGGAGCGAAAGCCAGGGGAGCAAACGGG
rnacentral:rRNA from 1 species